UUUUCUCCACCUUUGUUCAUCAUAGCUGAAAGUUAGAGAAGAGAAAGGAGAGGAGAAAGCUCUUGAGUAUUCGGUCAUUAGGAGGAGGAAAAUUGAAGGUAAGUUCUUGGUACAUUGCUUCUAUUUUGAGGUUCAUGAGUUCUUCUUGAUUCUACCUUAACUCUUGAAGUAUAUUUUGAUUUUUAGUUGUGUUGUGAGCAUUUAGUCAUGAAUUAAAAUGAAGGAAAUGGUUGUUGUUUCAUGUUCUUUUGAUGAAAAAUGGAAGAUAGGUGAAGUUGAGCCAAACAAAUGAACAUGCAUGUGCCUUAGAUGUUAAAGGGAAAAAUCAGCUAACAUGUUGUGCUUUAAAAUGAUGAAAUGGAGAUUAUACUUAAGUAAAAUCAUAGAUAUGUGAUGAUUGAUUGGUGAUAUACAUGUUUAAAUAACAUGCAUGCAAGGUAUGUGUGAAAGAGUGAUUUGGUAAUAAAUCUGCUUGGGACAGCAGCAGCAACGUGAUUUUGGAAAAUCACCAUAAAUUGUGGGAGAAGAAUUAGAAGCUGAAUAAAUUAUGUAAUUAAAGCUUAUUGAGUCUAGUUUCUAAUGAAAUAAACAAGAACAUAUUUUUAAUUCUGUACAAUGAGAAAUUUGAUUCGUAAUGAAGGGUGGUUAGAUUAGUCAAACAGUGAAACAUGGGAAACUUUGAGAAAAAUCUGGUAUUGAUUGGCCAAACCAAAAAUGCUGAAAAUUUUAUGAAUAGAAUAUAUAUGAGUCUAUUUUCAGGAAAAAUUAACGGCACUUGAUUUGGAGUUUCGUAGCUCCAGUUAUAAAUGAUUUAGUGACUGUCGCUCAGGAAGACAGCUUGCAAUGAAAUUAUGAUUAUGUGGUAAACAUUGACAAAAAUUUGUUAAUGAGUUGCUUAUUGUUUUCUUAUAAGCUUACUAUGAUCUGUAGGUGUGGUUGGCCGAAUAUUGUAAGGGGUUAAUACGUAGUUUGUAUUUGAAUAGCUAGAUUAACGUGUUAGUAAUCCAAUUGUAGGCGGUUCGUGUGUGGAUCUCGUCAGCAUAUCGUCGCAAACAGGUGUGUAACUAACACCCUCUUUCUUAGUCUAGAUCGGUAAAAGUCGAAAAGUCGAAAUGCCGAAAAUCGGUAUUUUGUAGAUUUGCGAGUGUGCGAAUACUCGUGAGGUAAAUCGAUUAAUGUUUUUGGUAAGCUGCAAUGUUUGGAUUGCAAAGUGCAUGAUUUCUGUGCCCUCGAUAUUUUUGGGCUUAAUGGGCCAAAACUGGAAUGAUGGGCCAACGGGCCCAAUUCGGUAAGAACCCUCGGUAGUGAUUCUGUUAGUACGUGAAAGGUAGGAAUAUGCAUGAAAAACCCUAAAAUAGAUAAAUUACUGAAAUACCUUUAAAAGUGGAAAAUUUACAAUUUUACCCCUAUGAGAUAAAUUACCGAAAUACCCCUAGAGUUAAAUUGACUUAAAUGCAUGUUUGACUGUUGUUAUUUACUGCAUGCCAUGUUGUUAUUAUCUGAUGCAUGGGAUUGGGAUAUUGACGGAGGAAGUACUGAAAGUGGCUUGUCCACGUACUGGAGGCUUUGCCUCAAUUUACUGUUAACUGAGCAGCAAGGCUGCAACUGUGGAGUGUUGGGCUGGGUGGGUUGAGCUAUUCCCCACAUGGAGUGUAUGGCUGGUACGGGUGGAGUGUAGUGGUUGGUGGGUUGAGUAGUCUCCCCAAAUGGGCUUGCAUAUGUUUACUGAUGUUGCAUGUAUUUUGAAAUGGGCCUACGGGCCAUACUGUUAUCUGAAUAAGGGGCUAAGGCCCAGUUUAUUGUAAUUUGAAAAGGGCUCUAGCACAGUACCACUGUUACCCAAAUGGGCUUGCAUAUGUUAUUGAUGUUGCAUGUAUUUUGAAAUGGGCCUAUGGGCCAUACUGUUAUCUGAAUAAGGGGCUAAGGCCCAGUUUAUUGUAAUCUGAAAAGGGCUCUGGCCCAGUACCACUGUUACCUGAAUGGGCUUAGGCCCAAUGGGCUUGAGCUGACUUGGGCUUUGAAUGGGUUUUCCUUACACACUGAGUUUCCCCAAACUCACCCCUUUUAUUUUCAUCCAUGCAGGAAAUCCCCAACCAUAGUGGGCUUGGAGCUGUGAGGGAAUUCGGAGUGGCCACCCGUUCUGAAAGUUUGAUUUUCUUCUGGUGAACUGGACAUCCUUUUAUUUACGUUUGAUGUUUUGGGUUUUUAAAUGUAAUAAGG
rnacentral:lncRNA from 1 species